CUCUUCACUCCUACGGGAGGCAGCAGUGGGGAAUAUUGCACAAUGGGCGCAAGCCUGAUGCAGCCAUGCCGCGUGUGUGAAGAAGGCCUUCGGGUUGUAAAGCACUUUCAGCAGUGAGGAAGGCGGAGUCGUUAAUAGCGGCCUCGUUUGACGUUAGCUGCAGAAGAAGCACCGGCUAACUCCGUGCCAGCAGCCGCGGUAAUACGGAGGGUGCGAGCGUUAAUCGGAAUUACUGGGCGUAAAGCGCAUGCAGGUGGUUUGUUAAGUCAGAUGUGAAAGCCCGGGGCUCAACCUCGGAAUAGCAUUUGAAACUGGCAGACUAGAGUACUGUAGAGGGGGUAGAAUUUCAGGUGUAGCGGUGAAAUGCGUAGAGAUCUGAAGGAAUACCGGUGGCGAAGGCGGCCCCCUGGACAGAUACUGACACUCAGAUGCGAAAGCGUGGGGAGCAAACAGGAUUAGAUACCCUGGUAG
rnacentral:rRNA from 1 species